rnacentral:rRNA from 1 species
UUGAAUCUGCCCACUGAUAAUUAAUUUAAAGGGCUGCAGUAUAUUGACUGUACAAAGGUAGCAUAAUAAUUAGUCUUUUAAUUGAAGACUUGUAUGAAUGAUUUGAUGAGAUAUUAACUGUCUCUUUUUUAUAUUUAAAAUUUAAUUUUUUAGUAAAAAAGCUAAAAUUUUUUUAAAAGACGAGAAGACCCUAUAGAGUUUUAUAAUAAAAAUAAUUAUAAUUUUAUAUAUAAUUUAUUUAAAAUGAUAUUAAUUAAUUGAUUAUUUUAUUGGGGUGAUAAAAAAAUUAAUUAAACUUUUUUUUUAAUUUAAACAUUAAUUAAUGAUUAAUUGAUCCAUAAAUUAUGAUUAAAAGAAAAAAUUACCUUAGGGAUAACAGCGUAAUUUUUUUUUUUAGUUCUUAUAAGAAAAAAAGUUUGCGACCUCGAUGUUGGAUUAAGAUAAAAUUUAAAUGUAGAAGUUUAAAAUUU